AAUUACAAUUUCCCAACAGUUACGCAAAUGAGGUUAAAUCAUCACUUGCAACUGUGUAUAAAAAGCUCCGCUGUCAGUACAACAUUACCACAAUCAUCCACAUCUCUGAGACAGUCUGCUGAAGUUGUGAAGACCUGACGGUGAAAUCACUGAAACCAUGAUCAAGGUUGUGUUUCUGCUUGGAUGCCUGCUGAGCCUUGCUCUGGCAAAUCCUAAUGACUCAGCACAUGAGCGUGAUGCACGUUCUUCAUCUAGGGAAGGGACCACUGGGACUACCACAAAUUCUCUUGCCCUGCUAACAGCUCUUCUACAGAAUCCAACACUUCUGCAGAAUCCAACGCUCCUUGCAGCGCUUCUUGCCGCUCUACGAUAAGCUGCUCCUUCACCAACAGCUACUACUGUUACAAAGAAUGAAUUGAAAAUGAACCAACAAUGAAUAAAAACCCA